rnacentral:rRNA from 1 species
UACGGGGGGGGCAAGCGUUGUUCGGAAUUACUGGGCGUAAAGGGCUCGUAGGCGGCCAACUAAGUCAGACGUGAAAUCCCUCGGCUUAACCGGGGAACUGCGUCUGAUACUGGAUGGCUUGAGUUCGGGAGAGGGAUGCGGAAUUCCAGGUGUAGCGGUGAAAUGCGUAGAUAUCUGGAGGAACACCGGUGGCGAAGGCGGCAUCCUGGACCGGCACUGACACUGAGGAGCGAAAGCCAGGGGAGCAAACGGG